GACGAACGCUGGCGGCGUGCCUAAUACAUGCAAGUAGAACGCACAGUUUAUACCGUAGCUUGCUACACCAUAAACUGUGAGUUGCGAACGGGUGAGUAACGCGUAGGUAACCUGCCUGGUAGCGGGGGAUAACUAUUGGAAACGAUAGCUAAUACCGCAUAAUAUUAAUUAUUGCAUGAUAAUUGAUUGAAAGAUGCAAUUGCAUCACUACCAGAUGGACCUGCGUUGUAUUAGCUAGUAGGUGAGGUAACGGCUCACCUAGGCGACGAUACAUAGCCGACGUGAGAGGGGGACGGGCCACAGUGGGAGUGAGACACGGCACAGAGUCCGAGGGGAGGAAGAAGGAGGGAAGCGUGGGAAAUGGAGGAAAGACUGAACGAGCAACGCCGGGUGAGUGAAGAAGGGUUUCGGAUCGGAAGGCUCGGUUGUAAGAGAAGAACGGGUGUGAGAGUGAAAAGUUCACACUGUGACGGUAUCUGAACAGAAAGGGACGGCUAACUACGUG
rnacentral:rRNA from 1 species